rnacentral:rRNA from 1 species
AUUGAACGCUGGCGGCAUGCCUAACACAUGCAAGUCGAACGGCAGCACAGUAAAGACUUCGGUCUUUAUGGGUGGCGAGUGGCGGACGGGUGAGUAACGCGUAGGAAUCUGCCCUGGAGGUUGGGAUAACCCGAGGAAACUCGGGCUAAUACCGCAUAAUAUCGAGAGAUCACAAGCAGGGGACCCUUCGGGGCCUUGCGCUCUAGGAUGAGCCUACGUCGGAUUAGCUAGUUGGUGGGGUAAAGGCCUACCAAGGCGACGAUCCGUAGCUGGUCUGAGAGGAUGACCAGCCACACUGGGACUGAGAAACGGCCCAGACUCCUACGGGAGGCAGCAGUGGGGAAUCUUGGACAAUGGGGGAAACCCUGAUCCAGCGAUGCCGCGUGUGUGAAGAAGGCCUUCGGGUUGUAAAGCACUUUAGUUGGGGAAGAAAAGUAAUAAGUAAAUAACUUAUUGCUCUGACGGUACCCAAAGAAUAAGCACCGGCUAACUCUGUGCCAGCAGCCGCCGUAA